rnacentral:rRNA from 1 species
CCUACGGGAGGCAGCAGUGGGGGAUAUUGCACAAUGGGGGAAACCCUGAUGCAGCGACGCCGCGUGAGCGAAGAAGUAUUUCGGUAUGUAAAGCUCUAUCAGCAGGGAAGAAGAAAUGGCGGUACCUGAGUAAGAAGCACCGGCGAAAUACGUGACAGCAGCCGCGGUAAUGCGUAGGGCGCAAGCGUUAUCCGGAUUUACUGGGUGUAAAGGGAGCGCAGGCGGGACGGCAAGCGUGGUGUGAAAGCCCGGGGCCCAACCGCGGGACUGCAUUGGGAACUGCCGGGCUGGAGUGCCGGAGAGGUAGGCGGAAUUCCUAGUGUAGCGGUGAAAUGCGUAGAUAUUAGGAGGAACACCAGUGGCGAAGGCGGCCUACUGGACGGUGACUGACGCUGAGGCUCGAAAGCGUGGGGAGCAAACAGGAUUAGAUACCCGAGUAGUC